CCUGCGGGAGGCAGCAGUAGGGAAUAUUGGGCAAUGGAGGCAACUCUGACCCAGCCAUGCCGCGUGCAGGAUGAAGGCGUUAUGCGUUGUAAACUGCUUUUAUAUAGGAAGAAAGAGUUCUUGCGAGAACAGUUGACGGUACUAUAUGAAUAAGCACCGGCUAACUCCGUGCCAGCAGCCGCGGUAAUACGGAGGGUGCAAGCGUUGUCCGGAUUUAUUGGGUUUAAAGGGUGCGUAGGCGGUUUAUUAAGUCAGUGGUGAAAGACGGUCGCUCAACGAUUGCAGUGCCAUUGAUACUGGUAGACUUGAGUGAGAUUGAGGUAGCUGGAAUGGAUAGUGUAGCGGUGAAAUGCAUAGAUAUUAUCCAGAACACCAAUUGCGUAGGCAAGUUACUAAGUCUCAACUGACGCUGAGGCACGAAAGUGUGGGUAUCAAACAGGAUUAGAUACCCUGGUAGUCCACACUGUAAACGAUGAUAACUAACUGUUGGCUUUUGGGUCAGUGGUACAGAGAAAUCGUUAAGUUAUCCACCUGGGGAGUACGCCGGNAACGGUGAAACCUUAAUGAAUUGACCGGNUAGAGAGNGCGAGACGACGACGAGGGAGGAGG
rnacentral:rRNA from 1 species